rnacentral:tRNA from 1 species
AUUUAUAUAAUAUAUAAAGUAUAUUUAGCUUCCAACUAAAAAGAUUAAUAAUAUUUAAUAUAAAUA